rnacentral:ncRNA from 1 species
AGGCACCUUAGUAGCCGGUUUCUUGCGAAACCUGCGGGCGGGGGCCUUAAACAUAGCGGCGGGUAAACCUGCCGCCAGUCGGGGAAACCCGACUUAGCUAAACGGAAGACAGAAA